rnacentral:lncRNA from 1 species
AAAACUCUGCUUGAGAUGUCAUCUUCCACAAGCCAAAAGUCUCCUACGCUUACAUCUUGAAAGACGAGAAACCAUAUCGAUCACAUUUUACUUAAAAACAAGAGAAGAAUCUAGGUUAAUCAAUCAAAUUAUAAUUUUGUUUUUAUAAUUCAUAUGGUGAAGAAAUAAUCAUUUAACAAAAGAAAGGACAUGUGUGACAGGAUCAGUCGGCUAAUGUUGUUAAUUAUUUACAGUACAAGUUUGACCUAUUCAAAUAGUACGACAUGGGGAUGAUAAACAGACGGAAAGACUUUGGCUAGGUUUCUUUCUAAUUAAAA